rnacentral:rRNA from 1 species
GAUGAACGCUGGCGGCGUGCCUAAUACAUGCCAGUCGAGCGAACGGACGAGAAGCUUGCUUCUCUGAUGUUAGCGGCGGACGGGUGAGUAACACGUGGAUAACCUACCUAUAAGACUGGGAUAACUUCGGGAAACCGGAGCUAAUACCGGAUAAUAUUUUGAACCGCAUGGUUCAAAAGUGAAAGACGGUCUUGCUGUCACUUAUAGAUGGAUCCGCGCUGCGUUAGCUAGUUGGUAAGGUAACGGCUUACCAAGGCAACGAUGCAUAGCCGACCUGAGAGGGUGAUCGGCCACACUGGAACUGAGACACGGUCCAGACUCCUACGGGAGGCAGCAGUAGGGAAUCUUCCGCAAUGGGCGAAAGCCUGACGGAGCAACGCCGCGUGAGUGAUGAAGGUCUUCGGAUCGUAAAACUCUGUUAUUAGGGAAGAACAUAUGUGUAAGUAACUGUGCACAUCUUGACGGUACCUAAUCAGAAAGCCACGGCUAACUACGUG